rnacentral:miRNA from 1 species
CCGCACCCGCAUCCUCGGG